AUUGAACGCUGGCGGCAGGCCUAACACAUGCAAGUCGAGCGGGUGAAGGGGGCUUGCUCCUGGAUUCAGCGGCGGACGGGUGAGUAAUGCCUAGGAAUCUGCCUGGUCGUGGGGGAUAACGUCCGGAAACGGGCGCUAAUACCGCAUACGUCCUGAGGGAGAAAGUGGGGGGUCUUCGGAUCUCACGCUUUCAGAUGAGCCUAGGUCGGAUUAGCUAGUUGGUGGGCUAAAGGCCUACCAAGGCGACGAUCCGUAACUGGUCUGAGAGGAUGAUCAGUCACACUGGAACUGAAACACGAUCAACACUCCUACGACAGAGAGCAGUGGCAAAUACUGGACGAUGGGAGCAAGCCUGAACAAGCGACGCCGCGCGAGUGCAGAAUCUAUCAGGAUCGCAAAACACAUUAAGUUGGGAGGAAGGGAAGUCUCUUAUUACCGUGCUGAUAAGACGUUACCAACAGAAAAAACCCCCGCCAAACUCCUG
rnacentral:rRNA from 1 species